UCCAUACGAUGAUAAAAUUUACCAUUUAACAUCCCUAUCUUAUCACAUCUCUAAUAAGCACACCCACAAAAACUAAAGGAAAAGGAAAAUAUUGCUUACAUAAAUAAAAUAAUGUAAAAAGAACAAAUUAAAGACGAAAAAACUAAAAGGGGCAAAUAAACAAUAUACAUCAAGUAAAAUUAAGUCGUCCAAAUAUAUGAAUUAUAAGAAAAAAUAGAUGCCUUCCAGCGACCAUAUUUAUCCUUUUGGGUGAAGAUACUCAAGUGAAGCAUAACAUUGUAUUACAAGACGUUUUUACAAGUACCUUCUUCCAUGUUUGCUCCUCCAUAGCAGCGAAACUUAAAUGCCAUAUGAUCACUACAAUUGUGGAUGAACAGUUGCUUAUCCAUAUCAUGGAUGCCUUCUCAUAUCACUAAAAAAUAGAAUCACCGGUCAAAACCAGAAAAUGUAAAUUUCAAUUUUUUGGAAUAGUUAUAAGAUGAUGAUUGGAAAUUUGUGGAAUGCACCUCUGUAACAGAACAAACUUAGAAAAUAGUAAGGAAAUUUAGUUUACCGUGUCCUCUUUCGAUUUGGCUGCCGCAAAAUGACUCACAUGCAUUCUAACAGAAAGCUUGAAGAACUAGGAAAGAAAAGAUAAAUUGGAAUGUAGUUGGGAACCCUUGGAAGCAAAUGGCAAAAGACAAAUACCUAAAUUAGAGCUCAUUUUCUUAUAGUACUAAAAGUUAGAAAUAGGGACCAUUAUGAGGAAUACGAAUGGAAUGAUCAGUUACAAUAAGGAGGAAUAUGAAAGGCUGGAAUAGUAACUGUUGAGACAUUUGUUACAACGUUUUUUACAAUAAGGAAUAGAAAAGAGAGGAGUAGCAAUGAUUGAGACAUUUAUUCUUAUAGCAAUAAGAUAAGAUAAAUAGAAAGUAAGAAAAAAGUCAAAAAAAAAAAAAAAAAGAUAGAUAAGAUCCUUG
rnacentral:lncRNA from 1 species